rnacentral:rRNA from 1 species
CUACGGGUUGCUCCAGUGGGGAAUAUUGCACAAUGGGGGAAACCCUGAUGCAGCAACGCCGCGUGGAGGAUGACGCAUUUCGGUGUGUAAACUCCUUUUAUAUAGGAAGAUAAUGACGGUACUAUAUGAAUAAGCACCGGCUAACUCCGUGCCAGCAGCCGCGGUAAUACGGAGGGUGCAAGCGUUACUCGGAAUCACUGGGCGUAAAGCGCGCGCAGGCGGCUCUUUAAGUUGGAUGUGAAAGCCUACGGCUCAACCGUAGAACUGCAUCCAAAACUGAAGAGCUAGAGUCUGGGAGGGGAAGAUGGAAUUAGUUGUGUAGGGGUAAAAUCCGUAGAGAUAACUAGGAAUACCAAAAGCGAAGGCGAUCUUCUGGAACAGUACUGACGCUGAGGCGCGAAAGCGUGGGGAGCAAACAGGAUUAGAUACCCGAGUAGUC